rnacentral:rRNA from 1 species
CCCUUAGAUGUUCUGGGCAGCACGCGCGCUACAAUGGUCUUCGCAAACGGAUGCAUUCUCGAAGGAGAAUGCCAAUCUUGGAAUCUAUGCCUUGGUCGGGACAGUUGCUUGCAAUUUUUCGACUCGAACCAGGAAUUCCUUGUAAUCGUGAUUCAUCACAUCACGAUGAAUACGUCCCUGCCCUUUGUACACACCGCCCGUCGCUCCUACCGAUCGAAGAGUUAGGCGAAUUGUUUUGAUCGAUAAGAUUUGACUAUGGUCAACUCUCGUUGUGAAAUUCUGUGAAUCUGACUGUUUAGAGGAGGGAAAAGUCGUAACA